GGAAAUCAUCCCCCCCUUCACAUUAAUAUCCCCUUCUUCUCUUACCUGGCUCUGGUUUUUCCCUCGUGAUCUUACCCUCACCUGCGAUGUCAUAUGCAUUUUUAUUACGUGUCUCUCUAUGCUGGCUUAUGCCUUAUUUUAUUUUUCCACAUUCAGAACAUCUGGAGCAGGAGCCGGCACAGACUAUGUCUGAUGAACACCGGUUACAUACCAAUGGCUGCAUCACUGCCUCGUGUUGUCUUUGAAAGUUUCGAAAAACAAGAACUCGAUUUAUCUUGGCAGCAUUUGAAGAAUGUCUUUCUUUCUCUACACACAUACUUACAUUCCUUCCUUUGGUUUUUUUUUUUUUUUUAAUAAAAACCAACAAAGCAAGAGGAAAACUAAAACCUACCUGAGAAGACUGUGUGACAGACAAGGCCAGAUUUUUGAGCACAAUGCAGGACUUCACUGGGCUAGUGAUCGGCCUAAAGGCGGAGGCUGUUAAACCAUGCAUUUGACAUGCAGGCCUCCUCACCAUCGCAUAGAGGGCUGAUGGCGUCCACUGCUCCCUCAGCCUCCCUCACAGGUGUCUCUCGGGAUAAUGGUAGGCCUGGAAAAUUUCUGUUACUAUAAACAACCAUCCCUGGGUUUCCUUUCCUUUCCAUUUAAUGACAUGACUGCCACUCACGGUGUCCGUUACGUGGCUACCAGGUGGGAGAGUAGCAAUGAACCGCCACUCAGCUCAGGGCUUGUUUACCCACAGUCGAGGAGAGGGCAGAUUCUGGGUUCUAAGCCAGUGGUGGAAUGCCAGUGCAGGGUUUGUUCUUACCCAUUCAAAUGAGACAGGACCCUGUGUCUUGAACAUUACCCACACAAGAACAGUAGGACCUCCCGCGGAGACAUCACAGCAUUUCAGCAGCUAAAGGUGUGUCUCCCAGCUAGAUGAAGAAUCCCUUCCCAGUCUCCUUCUGGGGCUCCUGAGGGAAUCUCCCCUAGGAAAGUAAUGACCCUGACAGGCCAACCCCUACCUGCCUUGUGGCAAUAGUUUACUUGAAACAGUGUAAACUCUAGAUGUCAUUACUAACUGUAAGCCUCAAA
rnacentral:lncRNA from 1 species